UACGAAGGGGGCUAGCGUUGCUCGGAAUCACUGGGCGUAAAGGGUGCGUAGGCGGGUCUUUAAGUCAGGGGUGAAAUCCUGGAGCUCAACUCCAGAACUGCCUUCGAUACUGGCGAUCUCGAGUUCGGGAGAGGUGAGUGGAACUGCGAGUGUAGAGGUGAAAUUCGUAGAUAUUUGCAAGAACACCAGUGGCGAAGGCGGCUCACUGGCCCGAUACUGACGCUGAGGUGCGAAAGCGUGGGGAGCAAACAGG
rnacentral:rRNA from 1 species